UACCCAAGGCUACGACGGGUAGCUGGUCUAAGAGGAUGGCCCAGCCACACUGGAACUGAGACACGGUCCAGACGUCCUACGGGAGGCAGCAGUGGGGGAAUCUUGCGCAAUGGGCGAAAGCCUGACGCAGCGACGCCGCGUGGGUGACGAAGGCCUUCGGGGUUGUAAAAGCCCCUGUGGGGUAGAACGAACUGGCAUCGGGGCUAAUAUCCCGGUGUCUUGACGGUACUGCCUUAGCAAGCAUCGGCUAACUCUGUGCCAGCAGCCGCGGUAAGACAGAGGAUGCGAACGUUGCUCGGAUUUACUGGGCGUAAAGCGCGUGUAGGCGGUCUCGUUAGUCGGGUGUGAAAGCCCCGGGCUCAACCCGGGAAGUGCACCCCGAUACUGCGAGACUGGGGUACUGAAGAGGAGAGCGGAAUUCCCGGUGUAGAGGUGAAAUUCGUAGAUAUCGGGAGGAACACCAGUGGCGAAGGG
rnacentral:rRNA from 1 species